UCGGGAAUCUUGCACAAUGGGCGAAAGCCUGAUGCAGCAACACCGUGUGAGCGAGGAAGGCCUUCGGGUCGUAAAGCUCUGUUGUUGGGGACGAAGGGCGAAGGGUUAAUAGCCCCUAGCCUGACGGUACCCUUCGAGGAAGCCCCGGCUAACUACGUGCCAGCAGCCGCGGUAAUACGUAGGGGGCGAGCGUUGUCCGGAAUUAUUGGGCGUAAAGAGCGUGUAGGCGGCCAGGUAAGUCUGUCGUGAAAUGCUGGGGCUCCACCCUGGACGUGCGAGGGGUACUGCUUGGCUAGAGGAUGGUAGAGGCGAGUGGAAUUCCCGGUGUAGCGGUGAAAUGCGCAGAUAUCGGGAGGAACACCAGUAGCGAAGGCGGCUCGCUGGGCCAUUCCUGACGCUGAGACGCGAAAGCAUGGGGAGCGAACAGGAUUAGAUACCCGUGUAGUCC
rnacentral:rRNA from 1 species